CUAGCUAGACAGACACACACUUUAAAUAGAUCAACCUGACGCUGCUGGUCAUUCAGAGCUGCAGAAGAAGCAACGUUUGACAACUUGGAACACAUAUUUCAACCACAGGGCUGCUGUAGGUGAGUGUGUGCCAGAUUUUGUAGAAAUGGCUGAUGUUUUCAGAAGCCUGAACCUCCUAGAGACCCUCAAAGAGUCCAUAGAGCUCAAUAAGUUAUCAGAUGUCAAGGAUGCAGUGGAAGAUCUCCUGAUCAGCAGGAUCAACUUAGCUGUGAUGGGGGGCCGUGGGGAUGAAAAAUUUGCCUUUAUAAACUCCCUCCGUGGCCUCGGUUCUGGGGACGACGGAGCAGCUCCGUCUCCAUCAUCUGUUGCCCCAGAGGAAUUGGCAGUUUACCCUAACCCUAAACACCCUGACUUUCGCCUGUGGGAUCUGCCACCUGUCCCAGCCGCCUCUCCAUUUGAACCCGAGGGCUACAUGGACAGAGUUAAAUUCCCCCGCUAUAAUGCUGUCUUAAUGACAUUCACACAAACGCCCCAACCCAACAGUGUGGACGUGUUCUUGGAGGCCCGGUCACAGCAGCGGCAAACAGUGUACUUUAUUCUCUUAGCUUCAGCAAAUGACACAGAAAAAAGCCUAGAAGAAAAGAGGAAAGCCAGUCUGGAAGUGCUGACAUCUCAGGGUGUGACACUGCCUAAAGUCUACCUGGUGAGACCCUCCACCCUGGAGAACUUUGACUUCCCUGGCCUGUUGGAGGACAUGGGAGGAGACCUUCCAGAGAUCCGAGCCCACGCCCUUCUCUUGGCUCUCCCGACACUUACCUCCACCCUGGUCACUCAGAAAAAGGAAGCAUUCAAAGCACUAGUAUGGGCAGCUGCCUCGCUAUCUGGUGGGGUGUCAGCUAUUCCUGUUCCCUUUGUGGCCUCCAUGGUGGACUCAAGUGUCGCAGUGCGGAUUCUAACCAAAGCACAAUUAUCUCUGUGCCUGGACGAUGAUUCGGUCGAGCGACUGGCCCGACAGCGGGGCAUGGAACCAACAAGACUUAAAGGGCUGCGGACUUGUGUAUUGUCAAUGGAGGUUACUAAAGCUGAAGUGAAAAAGCGGCUGGCAGCGGCAGAAAAAGACUUGGCCACGGUUUCAUCUAAACUGGUGGAGAUGGCGAUGCCCGUUCAUGCCCGUUCUGCCAGCCGAUCCUUCUCUGCCAUGCUGCAAGCAUUAAACAGCGCCAUGGAUGAAAUGGCAGCUGAUGCUGAGAAGAUAGUGGCUGUUGCUCUUGGGGAGGGGAAGUAAAAUCAAAUGAUUUUUUCUUUGUGUAAGGUUUCCUGUUUAUGUGUGAUUUACCUUUACGUUUUGGGAUAUAAGAAACACUAUUUAUACAAUACUUCAGAAAUCUUUUGAUACGUUUUCACACUUUUUAAUGAGCUAGAAGUACAAACAGAUGUCAAAUACUGUAAGCUGCUCAGUGCCUGUGAAAAAAAACACCCUGAACAGAGGCUUUCACGAUAAACAAAAGCAUUGAAUAGAGGAAGUGAGAGGAAUGUUGCAUGCACACUGUAGCGAGCAAGUUGAAGGAGAAAAUCAUAUCACCUUCAUCAGUACAACUAUAAAAGAUUAUGUUCUCUGGCUUGCAUGAUUGGCCAUGCAAAUUUUACAAGAUUUUAGUUGAACUGUGAAAACUUCCUUUUUAAAAAUAAUCGUACUCUUACUUAAUGAAGGAUGGUGUGUGCUACGGACUGCUGUAAGUGAAUCUUCUGAGGUAAAAACAAGCUUAUUUUUUAAAUCUUUCAGUCUUAAAUUAAGUUCCUCUAUUUGACUGUCUAAUUUAACUAAAAAAGUAAUCUCUGUCCGUGAAGGUUCUGUGUCAAUCAUUGAUGAGGUACAAUGUCUGUGUCUAGAGAAAUUUUAGGUUUCUAAGUAAGUAUACAGUGGCAUUUGUAAGUGAAGUAUAUGCUGUAUAUUGAGCUUUUAAAAACACUAUUGUUUUUGACAAUGUUACGCAUUUUGGGGGGGAUAAAUGAUCAAAUCUAAAAACUAAAGGCACUGUAAUGUUUGUACUCAAAAUAUUCUGUGUGGUGUAUUAUCGGUCUUCUUUGAAUGACAAGCAGAGUAAAGUGAUUGAAACAAACAGUUGAUGUAAAAUAAAGACAAUGACCUCCACAACAUAUUUUAGGUACUGUAAGGAAAUAGAAACUGAACCUGUAAUUGGAAGCCUAAAAAUUUAAUGUUUGGGCUCUGCUGUAUCAAGACACAAUCAUUACUACACUGCAACAAAACAUUUAAUCUCAA